GUCUACGGCCAUACCACCCUGAAUGCGCCUGAUCUCGUCUGAUCUCGGAAGCUAAGCAUGGUCACGCCUGGUUAGUACUUGGAUGGGAGACC
rnacentral:rRNA from 1 species